rnacentral:rRNA from 1 species
UACGUAGGGUGCGAGCGUUAAUCGGAAUUACUGGGCGUAAAGCGUGCGCAGGCGGUUCGCCAAGUCAGGUGUGAAAUCCCCGGGCUUAACCUGGGAAUUGCGCUUGAAACUAGCGGGCUUGAGUGUGGCAGAGGGGGUGGAAUUCCACGUGUAGCAGUGAAAUGCGUAGAGAUGUGGAGGAACACCGAUGGCGAAGGCAGCCCCCUGGGUCAAGAUUGACGCUCAUGCACGAAAGCGUGGGGAGCAAACAGG